UACGAAGGGGGCUAGCGUUGUUCGGAAUCACUGGGCGUAAAGGGCGCGUAGGCGGCCUGAUAAGUCGGGGGUGAAAGCCUGUGGCUCAACCACAGAAUUGCCUUCGAUACUGUUAGGCUUGAGACCGGAAGAGGUAAGUGGAACUGCGAGUGUAGAGGUGAAAUUCGUAGAUAUUCGCAAGAACACCAGUGGCGAAGGCGGCUUACUGGCCCGGUUCUGACGCUGAGGCGCGAAAGCGUGGGGAGCAAACAGG
rnacentral:rRNA from 1 species